rnacentral:rRNA from 1 species
UACGUAGGGUGCAAGCGUUAAUCGGAAUUACUGGGCGUAAAGCGUGCGCAGGCGGUUAUGUAAGACAGUUGUGAAAUCCCCGGGCUCAACCUGGGAAUUGCAUCUGUGACUGCAUAGCUAGAGUACGGUAGAGGGGGAUGGAAUUCCGCGUGUAGCAGUGAAAUGCGUAGAUAUGUGGAGGAACACCGAUGGCGAAGGCAGCCCCCCUGGGUCAAGAUUGACGCUCAUGCACGAAAGCGUGGGGAGCAAACAGG